rnacentral:rRNA from 1 species
AGAGUUUGAUCCUGGCUCAGAAUCAACGCUGGCGGCGUGCCUAAUACAUGCAAGUCGAACGCGAAAACCCCGCAAGGGGUUAGUAGAGUGGCAAACGGGUGAGUAACGCGUGGGCGACCUACCUCAGAGUGGGGGAUAACCUUCCGAAAGGAGGGCUAAUACCGCAUGACAUUCCGUGUUUGGAUACACGGACAUCAAAGCCGGGGAUCGCAAGACCUGGCGCUUGGAGAGGGGCCCGCGUCCGAUUAGCUAGUUGGUGAGGUAACGGCUCACCAAGGCUUCGAUCGGUAUCCGGCCUGAGAGGGCGGACGGACACACUGGAACUGAGACACGGUCCAGACUCCUACGGGAGGCAGCAGUAGGGAAUUGUUCGCAAUGGGCGCAAGCCUGACGACGCAACGCCGCGUGGAGGAUGAAGACUUUCGGGUCGUAAACUCCUUUCGACCGAGAUGAAUACUCUCUUACCUAAUACGUUUGAGAGCUGACAGUAUCGAGGGAAGAAGCCCCGGCUAACUCCGUGCCAGCAGCCGCGGUAAUACGGGGGGGGCAAGCGUUGUUCGGAAUUACUGGGCGUAAAGGGUUCGUAGGUGGCUUUCUAAGUCAGACGUGAAAUCCCUCAGCUUAACUGGGGAACUGCGUCUGAAACUGGCGAGCUUGAGUGCAGGAGAGGAACGCGGAAUUCCAGGUGUAGCGGUGAAAUGCGUAGAUAUCUGGAGGAACACCGGUGGCGAAGGCGGCGUUCUGGACUGUAACUGACACUGAGGAACGAAAGCCAGGGGAGCAAACGGGAUUAGAUACCCCGGUAGUCCUGGCCCUAAACGAUGAAUGCUUGGUGUGGCGGGUAUCGAUCCCUGCCGUGCCGAAGUUAACGCGUUAAGCAUUCCGCCUGGGGAGUACGGUCGCAAGGCUGAAACUCAGAGGAAUUGACGGGGGCCCGCACAAGCGGUGGAGCAUGUGGUUCAAUUCGACGCAACGCGAAGAACCUUACCUGGGCUCGAAGUGUAGAUGACAAUCGGCGAAAGUCGACUUCCGCAAGGACAUCUGCAGAGGUGCUGCAUGGCUGUCGUCAGCUCGUGUCGUGAGAUGUUGGGUUAAGUCCCGCAACGAGCGCAACCCUUGUUCUCUGUUGCCAUCAGGUAAAGCUGGGCACUCUGAGGAGACUGCCGGUGACAAACCGGAGGAAGGUGGGGAUGACGUCAAGUCAGCAUGGCCUUUAUGUCCAGGCUACACACGUGCUACAAUGGCCGGUACAAACCGUUGCGAGCCCGCGAGGGGGAGCUAAUCGGAAAAAGCCGGUCUCAGUUCGGAUUGCAGGCUGCAACUCGCCUGCAUGAAGUUGGAAUCGCUAGUAAUCGCGGAUCAGCAUGCCGCGGUGAAUACGUUCCCGGGCCUUGUACACACCGCCCGUCACAUCACGAAAGCUGGCUGUACUAGAAAUCGCUGCGUUAACCCGCAAGGGAGACAGGCGCUUAAGGUAUGGUCAGUGAUUGGGGUGAAGUCGUAACAAGGUA